rnacentral:rRNA from 1 species
CUUUAAAGAAAGCGUAAUAGCUCACUAGUCGAGUCGGCCUGCGCGGAAGAUGUAACGGGGCUCAAACCACACACCGAAGCUGCGGGUGUCACGUAAGUGACGCGGUAGAGGAGCGUUCUGUAAGCCUGUGAAGGUGAGUUGAGAAGCUUGCUGGAGGUAUCAGAAGUGCGAAUGCUGACAUGAGUAACGACAAUGGGUGUGAAAAACACCCACGCCGAAAGACCAAGGGUUCCUGCGCAACGUUAAUCGACGCAGGGUUAGUCGGUUCCUAAGGCGAGGCUGAAAAGCGUAGUCGAUGGGAAACAGGUUAAUAUUCCUGUACUUCUGGUUACUGCGAUGGAGGGACGGAGAAGGCUAGGCCAGCUUGGCGUUGGUUGUCCAAGUUUAAGGUGGUAGGCUGAAAUCUUAGGUAAAUCCGGGGUUUCAAGGCCGAGAGCUGAUGACGAGUCGUCUUUUAGAUGACGAAGUGGUUGAUGCCAUGCUUCCAAGAAAAGCUUCUAAGCUUCAGGUAACCAGGAACCGUACCCCAAACCGACACAGGUGGUCGGGUAGAGAAUACCAAGGCGCUUGAGAGAACUCGGGUGAAGGAACUAGGCAAAAUGGCACCGUAACUUCGGGAGAAGGUGCGCCGGCUAGGGUGAAGGAUUUACUCCGUAAGCUCUGGCUGGUCGAAGAUACCAGGCCGCUGCGACUGUUUAUUAAAAACACAGCACUCUGCAAACACGAAAGUGGACGUAUAGGGUGUGACGCCUGCCCGGUGCCGGAAGGUUAAUUGAUGGGGUUAGCGCAAGCGAAGCUCUUGAUCGAAGCCCCGGUAAACGGCGGCCGUAACUAUAACGGUCCUAAGGUAGCGAAAUUCCUUGUCGGGUAAGUUCCGACCUGCACGAAUGGCGUAACGAUGGCGGCGCUGUCUCCACCCGAGACUCAGUGAAAUUGAAAUCGCUGUGAAGAUGCAGUGUAUCCGCGGCUAGACGGAAAGACCCCGUGAACCUUUACUGUAGCUUUGCACUGGACUUUGAGCCUGCUUGUGUAGGAUAGGUGGGAGGCUUUGAAGCGUGGACGCCAGUUCGCGUGGAGCCAUCCUUGAAAUACCACCCUGGCAUGCUUGAGGUUCUAACUCUGGUCCGUGAUCCGGAUCGAGGACAGUGUAUGGUGGGCAGUUUGACUGGGGCGGUCUCCUCCUAAAGAGUAACGGAGGAGUACGAAGGUGCGCUCAGACCGGUCGGAAAUCGGUCGCAGAGUAUAAAGGCAAAAGCGCGCUUGACUGCGAGACAGACACGUCGAGCAGGUACGAAAGUAGGUCUUAGUGAUCCGGUGGUUCUGUAUGGAAGGGCCAUCGCUCAACGGAUAAAAGGUACUCCGGGGAUAACAGGCUGAUACCGCCCAAGAGUUCAUAUCGACGGCGGUGUUUGGCACCUCGAUGUCGGCUCAUCACAUCCUGGGGCUGAAGCCGGUCCCAAGGGUAUGGCUGUUCGCCAUUUAAAGUGGUACGCGAGCUGGGUUUAGAACGUCGUGAGACAGUUCGGUCCCUAUCUGCCGUGGACGUUUGAGAUUUGAGAGGGGCUGCUCCUAGUACGAGAGGACCGGAGUGGACGAACCUCUGGUGUUCCGGUUGUCACGCCAGUGGCAUUGCCGGGUAGCUAUGUUCGGAAAAGAUAACCGCUGAAAGCAUCUAAGCGGGAAACUUGCCUCAAGAUGAGAUCUCACUGGGAACUUGAUUCCCCUGAAGGGCCGUCGAAGACUACGACGUUGAUAGGCUGGGUGUGUAAGCGUUGUGAGGCGUUGAGCUAACCAGUACUAAUUGCCCGUGAGGCUUGACCAUAUAACACCCAAACA